UCAUGUGAUAUUUUGAAUCUCCAUAUAUCAUUCCCUGUAUGCCUCUGUGAUGCCAAUGCAGACAAUGACAGUAAGAAAUAUAGUUUUAAAUAGCUUCAUAGGAUUAUUAUCAUUUUGACCAGAUCAGAUUCAGAUCAAUCUACUGAGAGGUCAGAGGUCAAAUGGGAUAUAUUUUAAUAGUUAUACAAUACUUUCCAAAUGUUGCUAACAUACACCACACUUAUAAGAAUCAUAGUUUUUGUCUGUUUUCAACUAACAAAUUGUGAAGUUGUAAACCAAAUUUUAAUGGCCCGUUAACACGUCCUCCUGCUACACCACCACAAAGUCUCAUCAGAAUUUGCUGAAAACUUUUCGAGCUAUCGUGUUUACAGAGUGAACGACAUGCACGCAUGCACACAAAAAAACGUAACUUCCUUGGAAGAAGUAAUCAAAUCGAUUCCUUGCAGGUCUAAUCAGUUGUUUGUUUUCAGCAAAGCUUCAGCAUCCUCAGAUGUUCAUUAUGUGUUUUUCUCAUUGUCACAGCUGUUAAAGUUUAUUAACUAAAAUCAGUAUUUUUGGAAGAAAUGUUGCCAUCACACACAACAAGGCCCAGGAGAACAACAAAGGCAGGAACACAGACAGCAUACUAAUUUUACUUCUUCUUCUACUCCUUUUGCAAACAGUCAGUGUAUUUUCUGCCAGCUUCAUCUGAAAGGAUAAGAUGAAUGCGCCUGUAGGAAAAAAGUCCUAAGCUAAUUUGUUGUGUUUUGGUCGACAUUGAACCGCUGCGCUCCGCAUCACAGUCUGCCUUUUUGCAACUUCUUGUCCCUGGAUUUGUCUCAUCUAAAUGCACACAUCCUGAGAUACCCUGCAGUGGAUUCCUGCCACAUAAGCUGUAAUAUCACCUGGGCAGGAAGCUGGGCAGCUGUGAGAUCCAAAUAUCACCAUCACGAGUGAGCCGGAUGUUUCUUAUUAUGUUCCAAGAUGCCUGGCAGCUCACUAUUUCACUUAUUUUGUCCAGUAUAUUCACUAUCUGCCCUCUGCACAUGUCCAAAACAUCUAAACCUCACCUCUCUAACUUUGUCUGCCUGCUCUCUUCUUCACCUCUUCUGUGCCCAGGUGUUUAAACUUUCUCUCUUAUUCAAACUCAUGUAUUGGAGGUGUGCUUUCUUUUCAUACCUCCACCUCUAAUGCGUCUCUACCACCUGCUCCCUACUCUCACUACAGGUCACAAUGUCAUCGUCUGCAGACACUCCUGCCGGUCAGCCUGUCCAUCACUGCUGCAAACAAAGAAUGAGCUCAGAGCUGAUCUCUGAUGUGAUCCAACCUCCAUCUGUCACUCCUACUGUACACCUCACCACUGUCUUCCUGUCCUCAUCCAUGUCCACCACACUCACAUACUUCUCUGCCACUCAUGUCUACCUCAGUUCUUCUCCCUGUUAUGUCCUUUUUUCACAAAGACAGAGUGAAGUGCCGUCUGACCUUGUCAGUACUUGUUUUCUUCCAGGACUCUUUUCUGGAUCUUCGCGGUGUGGCUUUGUGCAGUUACCACAGUUCUCUUAUUCCUGAAACUCAGUAUUAAAACACUUCUUCUCCAUUCCUGAGAAAUCCUGUCAUUCUUCAAUAUUGUGUUAAACAACCACUCUCCUAGACAUCCUCACACCUGUGGAAGUACAGAGAUUCAGCUGGACCAGCUACCGUUCUUCAUCCUCUUCAAAGCUUCCCUCACUUCCUUUUUACUAAUCCACUUUCCUCCAUCUGUCCUCUUCUCUCAUUUUCCUCAUUCAUGAAGUCCUAAAAGUACUCCUUCCAUCUUUUCAUCUCACUCAUCGCUCUCCUUUCCAGCUCAAUGUCUGUCAAUGUCUCUGUCAAGCCAAAAAUCCCUUUCUUGUUUCUUAGUUCCUAACAAUCAGUAAACAUCACAGUACUUCAGCUUUCAG